UCCUCCUGCCAUGGCCUCCCUGAGUGCUAGGAUUACAGGUGUGAGCCAUUGCACCCAGCCCACAAAAAACACUUUAUGGGAUGAUUUAAAGGAAUGUAAUCAGUGUUCUAAAGAUAAUAAAACUUACAGAAACAAAGAACAGGUUAUGGUAAUGGAUGUUACUUUACUUGUUUGUCCGUAAUGCAUUUGCAUUAGGAGGGCAGGGGCCAUAUCAGUUUAAUACCCUGUGAACAGAACUGUGCUCUGUUACUGUGUGUAAGCAGUUGCUUAGUAAAUGCUAUUUGAUGAUGAUGGGGAGAAAAUCCAAAUAGCAGCUGAUUUUUUUUUUAGUAGGCAAGUAAUUUUCCAGGGAUAUAAGUCAUUCUCUAAGGUAUAAUGAAAUUCCAGUGUAUCCAUGAAAGGAAGGAAAGGAAUCUGGAACAGAAUAGGCAAAAAACUCCAAGUCAGAAUGACAAGCUAGGUGAUGUAACAGAGAACUCAACACAGACAAAGACUUGGAUUUCUUUCACUAAAAGGUAAGAUUGACAUUUGUUGGCUCAUCAGAGUAGGCUAAAGAAGCUGCCUUGUCCUUACCUGGAUACUCUGCCUCAAGAGAAAAGUUCAAAAGAAACCACAAAUGAAAUCUAAAACCUGAAGUUGGAAAGGAAGAACAACUUGGCUAAGAAAUAGAUAUAUGCAAGAAAGGCUGGUUUUGUUUUCUUCGUGACACAGUAUCAAACGGUUGCUGGGGCCUUUUAAAAAUUUUCCUGUAGCACCAAGCCUGGAAAAUAGUUACCUACAGAACAGAGAUGAGCGAAAGAGGUGAGGCAUAAGUACGUAGCACACGGAAGGAAUAUGACAGCAAAGAUGGGAAACAUCUGAAGGAGGUGUUGGACUUCAAAAUCCUCCAUUGCUAUUGAGACUGGAGACAGUAUUCCUGAAGUUCAUCCAUUCAAUCAACCUAAAGGAUGUUUUCAGUUUUUUUUCCAUUUGACCACCCCUUCAAUAAAGAAGAAUGUCUCCUGGAUCCCAUGAAACUGUCUACUGUUUUUCCAAAUUAUUCUGAUUAUAGUUCUUCUUUUCUUUGAUUCCUAAAUGAAUGUGUUCCUUCAAGGAAUUGCCAUGUCCUCUGGGUGACUGUAAGCUGCUAUCUUAAUUUCUGUCCACUUAAUGGUUUUAUUUAUUUAUUUAUCUAUUUUGAGACAGAGUCUCACUCUGUUGC